CCUACGGGUGGCUGCAGUGGGGAAUAUUGCACAAUGGGGGGAACCCUGAUGCAGCGACGCCGCGUGAGUGAAGAAGUAUCUCGGUACGUAAAGCUCUAUCAGCAGGGAAGAAAAUGACGGUACCUGACUCAGAAGCCCCGGCUGACUACGUGCCAGCAGCCGCGGUAAUACGGAGGGGGCAAGCGUUAUCCGGAUUUACUGGGUGUAAAGGGAGCGUAGUCGGCACUGCAAGUCCGGAGUGAAAGCCCAAGGCUUAACCAUGGGACUGCUCUGGAAACUGUGGAGCUUGAGUGGGGGAGGGGCAGGCGGAAUGCCUGGUGUAGCGGUGAAAUGCGUAGAUAUUAGGAGGAACACCGGCGGCGAAGGCGGCCUGCUGGACCGUAACUGACGCUGAGGCUCGAAAGCGUGGGGAGCAAACAGGAUUAGAUACCCGUGUAGUC
rnacentral:rRNA from 1 species